GAUACAGAUAUCAGACCUGAAAUUGGUUCUGUCACAGCAAAUGGUUCCUGCACUCAGCACCCAGAGAAGAAGCGACUGAAUAUACAUAAUACUGACCAUUGGAGAUUCCAGAGCAAUGAGGUGCAAUGAAAUGUUCAUAAGGAUCAAGAAGUCCUUCACCUUCUCUGCCAACCGAAUCUAAGAGACAACAAACAGCAUAACCAAGAGAACAGACAAAAAAUCAAAAUCCCAACACAAAUCUUGAAGAAACCGAUGAAAUCCAGAACACAAAACAAGCAAAAAAAAAAA